GCUUGUCUCAAAGAUUAAGCCAUGCAUGUCUAAGUAUAAACAACUUUAUACUGUGAAACUGCAGAUGGCUCAUUAAAUCAGUUAUAAUCUAUUUGAUGAUUACUUACUACAUGGAUAACCGUGGUAAUUCUAGAGCUAAUACAUGCGCAAAGUCCCAACUUUCGGGGAGGGAUGUAUUUAUUAGAUUUCAAUCAACACUUUUUGCUGACUCAUGAUAACUUAGCGGAUCGCAGAGGCCUCGCGCCGGCGACAAAUCAUUCAAGUUUCUGCCCUAUCAGCUUUCGAUGGUAGUGUAUUGGACUACCAUGGCAUUCACGGGUAACGGAGGAUUAGGGUUCGAUUCCGGAGAGGGAGCCUGAGAAAUGGCUACCACAUCCAAGGAAGGCAGCAGG
rnacentral:rRNA from 1 species